rnacentral:rRNA from 1 species
UACGGAGGAUGCAAGCGUUAUCCGAAAUGAUUGGGCGUAAAGCGUCCGCAGGUGGCUAUGUAAGUCUGCUGUUAAAGAGUGAGGCUCAACCUCAUAAAAGCAGUGGAAACUACAUGGCUAGAGUGCGUUCGGGGCAGAGGGAAUUCCUGGUGUAGCGGUGAAAUGCGUAGAUAUCAGGAAGAACACCGGUGGCGAAAGCGCUCUGCUAGGCCGCAACUGACACUGAGGGACGAAAGCUAGGGGAGCGAAUGGG